rnacentral:tRNA from 1 species
AAUAGAGUCAGCUAAAACUAAGCUAUUGGGUUCAUACCCCAAAAAUAAACAUUGUGUUUCUUUAUUA